rnacentral:misc_RNA from 1 species
GAUGAAGAACGCAGCGAAAUGCGAUAAGUAGUGUGAAUUGCAGAAUUCAGUGAAUCAUCGAAUCUUUGAACGCACAUUGCGCCCCAUGGUAUUCCGUGGGGCAUGCCUGUUCGAGCGUCAUUUACCCCCUCAAGCUCCGCUUGGUGUUGGGGCCUGCUGCACUGGCAGCCCUUAAAAUCAGUGGCGGCGCCAUCUGGCUCUAAGCGUAGUAAUUCUUCUCGCUAUGGAGUCCUGGUGGAUGCUUGCCAUCAACCCCCAAUUUUUCUAUGGUUGACCUCGGAUCAGGUAGGGAUACCCGCUGAACUUAAGCAUAUCAAUAAGCGGAGGA